ensembl:lncRNA
AUGUUUAUCUUCCCUUUUGUUUAUUGUACCCACGUGGCAUUUCUAAUCAAGUGCAGAGCCCUCUCCAGCUGGCGGGCAGCCUGGGCUGGUCUCACAGAACACAUACAAACCACUUUCUGGCACCAAUUUCCCUCAGCUGGGAGCUGUGCCAUCCCUGCUCAGCUGCAGGGGACGGGGCUUUGCCCUUGGAUUAACCUGGGGAUGGCUCCUCUGCCCUUUCCUGUCCCUUCCUGCAGCUUUUGUGGUUCUCUGCCCUGCUGUGAGAAACACCUGCUUGGGUUUCUUGGCCUUCAUCAAGCUGGAGAGCAGACAGGAGAAAUCAAUCCCCAGGCAGAAAAGCAGAGGCUGAAGGGCAGCUCAGAACCACAACUCCCAGUGCUGCGUGUGCCGGACCCCAGCGUGGGCACUGGUCCCAUUAGCAGCCAGAGCAGCCGUGUGAGAUGGGUCCUCCCUGCGCUCACACCGCCGGGUGAAAGCUGGAGCUGGGGCUCUGGAGGAUGCAUGGAGAGAGGAGUGCCAGGGAGCCGGCAGUGCACAGCAGAGCGGUGCCUUCCUUCUCCAAAGGGCCACUCCAUCCCACAGCACUAUUUCUGUCCUCUCCCAUCUAUAGCAAGCUGCUGGGUCUGAAGGCACAGAGCACUGCCUGUGCGCCUCAGGAGGAGCAUUGCAGAACGCUUUCACAUCUGCUCCAGACAGAGGACGUUGCAGCAGCCCCGUCUGAAGGCAGAAUUGAGGUCCCGGGUCACUCCCAGCUCAGUGACAGCAGUGUUGGCUGCGGUGAUGGCAGUGGUGCUGUGCAGCUGCAGCUCCCCCCGCUGCCUGCACCAGCCCUCCCCAUCCUCCUCUUUUCAUUCCGUUCCAGCCCGAUUAGAGGAGGUUGCACCCGGAGGCAGCUCGCCAGGCGUUUAUGCAUGCAGCUGCCUGAGCUGAAUGCACGCAUGUUAAUGUGUGGAAAUGAGUCGGGGCCACUUUUGUACCAAGUUUUCUGCUCCCUGGAUCGAGCACACCGGGUCUUCUGAAGCAAAAAAGAAUUCAGGAGAGGACCUUUGUGCUUACUGCUCACCCUGUCUCUUAACAUUGCCCAGAUACCAGUGCUGCUGUUGGGCAGAUAGCAGAGCUUCUCACAGAAGCAGCACCAUGCAUUGUUGUGCACACCCCUCUAUUUCCCUUUGCUCAGCUGCUGCUGCUCCACGACUUCUCAAGCUUGUGGGGAAAGCCAUCACCCCCCAACCCUGCAGCCAGAAUGACCACUGCCACCCAGAUGAGCAGCCAGCAUGCAGCUCAGAGCAGUGCAGAAGCCAACUGCUGCCAGGCCCUGGCUGGGGCUGCUGCUCCUGUGCCAUGCGCUGCUGCUGAGCAGCUGCUCUGCCCCUGCUGUCCACGCUUCGGUCUCCUGGGACCAACCUGUCAUUGCUGCAGCAUGUCAAAGGUAUGCUUCCCUAUAUCUCUACCAGAGGGGAUUAUGUUCCCAGCGGGGGCUCGGGUUCUUUUUUUUUUUGCCAUCGUAUGAUUUAAUGUGACAACUGUAAUUUGAUGUGACGCGUCUUUGCAACAAUUCGCUACCUCGGAAAAUCACAAACAAGCUUAAAAUAAGAACAGAACGCAUGGACUCACAUCUCCCCGUGUG